rnacentral:rRNA from 1 species
AGUACGACCGCAAGGUUAAAACUCAAAUGAAUUGACGGGGACCCGCACAAGUAGUGGAGCAUGUGGUUUAAUUCGAAGAUACGCGCAGAACCUUACCAACACUUGACAUGUUCGUCGCGACUUUAAGAGAUUAAAGUUUUCGGUUCGGCCGGACGAAACACAGGUGCUGCAUGGCUGUCGUCAGCUCGUGUCGUGAGAUGUUGGGUUAAGUCCCGCAACGAGCGCAACCCUCACUUUUAGUUGCCAUCAUUAAGUUGGGCACUCUGAAAGAACUGCCAGUGAUAAGCUGGAGGAAGGUGGGGAUGACGUCAAGUCCUCAUGGCCCUUACGUGUUGGGCUACACACGUGCUACAAUGGUAUCUACAACAGGAAGCAAGACGGCGACGUUAAGCAAAUCCUUAAAAGAUACCUCAGUUCGGAUUGCACUCUGCAACUCGAGUGCAUGAAGCUGGAAUUACUAGUAAUCGUGGAUCAGCGUGCCACGGUGAAUGCGUUCCCGGGUCUUGUACACACCGCCCGUCACACCAUGGGAGUUGGUUCUACCUUAAGGCAAGGUUUCAAACCCUUGACCACGGUAUAGUCAGCGACUGGGGUGAAGUCGUAACAAGGUAACC